rfam:Flavobacterium reichenbachii strain LMG 25512 Contig01, whole genome shotgun sequence.
GCCCGCGUGGUAUGGUGGCGGUAUUGGAAACAACUGCAACGCUUUUAACGGCGUAGGACACCUUAGCUAUGCGGGUUU